GUUCUUUAAUAAACUAUUUUCUAUGUGCCAAUACAACGAAAAUUGAAUAUUGUAACACGACAAUGAGUAUAUAUCGUCGCUUGUAAAUGUAUUACAGUAUUAACUAUUUUUAAAAAGGUUAUACAUACUGUCAUAAGCUUUGGACUACCCCAUUCUUUAAUAACAAAAAUAAAAACAUAAUGCUAAUAUUGUGGUAAUAAAUUGGCUUUACUGAAAGAACAUACUAAAAACCUCGUCCACAUUUAGCUGGCCAUCUUCUUUAAAAAUGCAAGUUUUAAAGGACAUCGGGAAAAAAGUCAAGUCGACAUGUAGUUUGAUAUCGUUAGAAAGAACUUUGAAAACAUUAAUGAAAGUUAUUUUAAACUUUUUAAUAUCUGUCUUUUUGACUGUAGUUUCUUUGACUUGUUAAUGAACUGAAUGAAAAAUGUCAUUGCAUGCAAAUUUGAAAUGUCGAAAAAAAGAAACUUUUUGAUCAUUUAGUUAAUAAUAUGAUACGAUGUCCUUUAAUUGGCAAACGAGAAUAAAAGUUGAUUAGAGUUGUAGCUCUCGUAAACUGUCAUCAAACAUCGAGUGUAGGUCAACUCUCAUCAACUUUAAGCAGGCUCACAUUUUGAGGACACUAAACGUAGAUAUAUAAGCGAUGCUAAUUAAACAAUGCUUGAUCUAAUACGCUGACAGUAAAAACAAAUUAGAGCUGUUUUCAAGAAGUUUUUUAAAGAACGGUUUUUCUGUCACUCCCAGACCUUGUACUACAAUCAUUUUCAAAUGUGUUGAGACAGACGCCCCAACUACAUAUUAUUUUGCAAAACUUUGAUCCCCCUGCACCCUCAGGUCUCAGUUAGCAUCUUACUUUGGUGUAAUAUAGUGUUUGGAAUUCGGUAAACAACAUUGAAUGAGGGGCGGGGGGAAAUAAAAAUGCUUGUAAUAAUUUGCAUUUAUCCACUGAUGAUCUAAAACCGAAAACAACUUUUAAAAAUGAUUGUAGGUUUUAAACAUUACUUAACUUGUCUUAAAGUUCGCAUGUUAACUUGUGAAUGGCUGAAUAGUAGUACAGUAUCAAAUACAAUUACAUACAUUCUUGUAUUGUAACAAAAUGAGGGGUCGGUCACGGCAGAAAUUUCGCGUACACUCCACUCAGAACUCAGGUUAAAAACCAUGCAGAAAUUUAAAUUAACUGAGUAGAAAUCAGUUGAUUUUGAAACCAUACAGAAAACACGUAAGUUCUUACAAAAGGCUAAACAUAUCACCAUAUUGCAAGAACUAGCUUGAUUCACUUUUGCGUAUUUCAGAUCGGAUAUUUCAUAAAUAAAACAGUAUUUUGUUUUCAAUGUUUUAAACGUAUUUUCAGGCAUUGAAAUAUACCAAAAAUGCUGUAAUUGGUAUGUUCAGGAAAUGUUGAAAUCAGCCGAAGUUCAGGAAAUCAACUCAGAAAUAAACUUGAUUUCAAAAUCUCGUACGCUUUCAACUGUCAUGACGGACCCCUUUGAGUAAAAGCACGCAUUACGAAAUCAUUAUUUGUUUCUCAACAGUAGCUUAUCUUUGAGUUCGUUAUAGAGGCUGUUUAUACGAGUCUGGCUGGCUGGUUGACCAGGUUAAACGAGGCGUUCGCCUUCACACAAAUUUUUUAAAGAAAUAAUUUCACUUUAAAUAAAAACUGGGCCAGUCCGUUUAACUGGGACAUCGUCGGCUGAAAUUUAUCCAUGCAAAGUCGUUUAACCGGGCUAGCAAAAAAACAUUGUUACACUUGACAAUAUUUAUUUGAAUUGAUAUUUUCUCGAUAAAUUUUGAUUUCUAAACUUACAAAUUGUUCUUGUUGCUUAAGUAGUUUUAAAUCGGAAAUUUGUGCAGGAAAAAAGCAUGAAUUUAACUUUUGUGACAAACCUCGCAGUAUUAAACUCGUCAACGAGUUUUUCUUGUUAAUUUUGGUUUGUUGAAGUCUUAAACCUCGAUCAAACGAGAGUUGGCAGUCACGUGACCUUGGUUAGCUGUUCUUAAUGCUUUCCCAACACUAUCAUGUAUUCUAUUGAAGUUAAAACAUUGUUGGAACACUCAUGAAAUCUACAUUUUGUUAAUCUAGAGCUUGAAAUGUCGAGUGUAACAAUUCGUGACUGCCAGCUCUCAUCAACUUUCAUUUUCAUUUGACCGGGGGCUUUAGCCCGGCUAAUAUAGAGCCAGAACGCACGUCUCAUAUAAACAGCCCCUCAGAGACCCUUGCAAUGUAGAACGGCAACUCCCGAAGACGACGGCUAUUCAUACAAUGAAAUUCAUAACAUUUUAGAAAAGAAUGAAUAAUCAUAAACCACAGAUUUUUGCGGUACUCAGGAAAUGAAUUGCUCAGUAAAGAACUAUUCUCAAACAUAAAUCCGUUUAGCUGUACUAAAUUCAUUCGAUUGAUAAAACACGACAAAAUUUUCUUUACAAUUUCUCGUUUGAAUGAGUUUGUGUUGGCUGUUGCCUUCGCGUUGACAUGCUACAUCAUUUAAGGUAUUUUUUAGUGAGUUUGGCAAACAACAACGGCAACAGCAGGAAACAAAAUUACUUAUACUUUUGUAUUCGAGCGAAAACAUACAUUACUAAACUUUUAAAACCACUUAUCUUUCUUUUAAACAACCUUGAAAUUCCCUGAAGUAGCAACAGAGAGUGCAUGAAUUCACAUAAAACACCGCAAACGACUUGAACGUUUUACUGUGUUGGCGUGGUCAUGAGCCGUGAAAAUGAUGUAAAUGACGUAGUGUUUGUAAAAAUUGAGAAAAUAAUACAUCUUUAGGAUGGAAAUUAUAGUCGCCUUUGUCUUUAUAGAGUAAAGAUGCUGUUGUUGACGAUCACGUUCUCGUUGCUGUUGUAUAUUCGCCAAACUCUUUUUUGUCUAAACUCGCGACAGUGUUGACUGAAUGAAAUCAAUAUAUUAAAACACUUAUCGGUUAAUUAUUAUUUCUAUCAGUUAUUACUCGUUUAUAUAAGUUUACUCGAUGUUUGCUAAACUAACACGAUGUUAUUAUAUAAUUUUCAUCCAGCUUUAAGCUUGCGUUUUAGUAAAAUUGAUGUUACCAUUAUCGCCGGUUUUAUUGACCGAUUCGAAAACUAGCUAGCACAAUUUUUCAUUAUUUUCUAUUUUAUGCAUUGCCAGGCUAAAAAACAACUUUUCAACACAGACUUGUUAAGGCAAAGUGUAAACAUUUAAGAUUGAAAUUAUGAAAACAAUAAAGGUAGGUGAAAUUAUAUCCUUUUGUUUGAAAUGUGCAAAAAAAAGUAUUAAAACGAGGCUAGUCAGUCUUCUUUGCUAAAUUUUCUUUUAUUUUUAACAUUUAAUUUCUAAAAAAAGGGAUACAUUUAUACUUUGCAAAACUGUCAGUCUUGAAAUAAUCUGUAAGGCGGAAGUGAUUACCUUGGUUGAAAUUAAUUUUGGAAGAAAAAAAAUGACAACUAUUGUAUUUUUCGAAUCGGUCUAUGUCAUUGGUAAUUAAGAUUUUAUGAUUUUUAUUUUACGAUAAGUGUUAUUGAUUAGCCUAUGAAUUGUAAACAUGUGAAAAUGAUGUAAUUGUAAAGACUCACUCAAAGAUGUGUGCAGGAUUGUGUGGCAUAUUGCAUGAGGAUUGUACAGUAUAUGAAUUUCGAUGCGAUUUCAAGACUUUCAUAAUCAAUGACAACGGCACAAAUUUUCGUUGCUGAAUGCAAAGGAUUUGUAGGUUUUAAACUAAGUUUGUCUGGUACCAAAACGUUUGUUACUUUUUGUCUGUAUGAUGAAAUGAUUCCAAGAUAUUUGUGUUUGUAUAUAUGUGAAGUAUAAUAGUCUGUGAUCUAUAUAAAGCGUCAGUUCAUGUACCUAUGCGAUAGCAUCAAUCGUUUCAAUUUAAGCUAGCUUCUAACCCUUCAUGAUGGAUUUCUUUUUAAAGUAAAGCGGGAAUACACAAGGAUAUAUCAGCAUAUUAACAUAUACGACCGAUGUUCUGGUUAUCACCUUCAAAACUCAAAAAGAACUUAUCAAAAGUUAGUAUUAGACAACAUAUCAAUAAGAUGAAAUAUGCACAACAUUCAGACCCCAUAUAUUUCAAAUAGUUUUUAUCAAGUAAGUAAGUCAAGGAAUGGACACAAAAUUAAUAUGGCGUCUAGGUUCUGUUGGUUGGACACAAUGUUCUUUAAGUUCCUCUGUAGCAAUAUUUCAUAGUAUAGACUCAAUCACCAUUCGUAUGGACGAAAAAUCUGGACUCAUGGUGUCCAAAAAUGUCUUUGGACCACUCUCUUUGCAGCCCAAUUGUUAAGCAUCUUUAUUAAAUAAUUAUUAUCGAGCUUUUCGGUGGCAAGCAGUGAGAUGAUGUUUCUUUUUUCGUUUCCAACCCUUCACACCAGUCUCGGCCAACGUCUUUUUUAUUUAUACUGUGCAUGCCUAUUAGAUUUUGCUGUAAGCUUUACUUUUUCUUUUCUUGCUCUCUUCUGUGUGGACUUUAUUUUUUCGUAGGAAUCUUGAGACUUCCAUUCUUGCUUCCAUUCAAUAUCUUCUUCUAGCGCAUGUCGAUGACACUUGGUUGGUUGCAGCAAACUCCAGCGGUAAUCUUCCGUUGCGAAACGCCUACCUGGGACAAUGCUAACACCAUUCCUCGACGUUCUGCACAGAUUCUUUGAUUGGCAUGGAUACAUGGUUUCACAUCUUAUUUCGGUUCUUUUUGACAGAUGAAGAUCUUUCUGUUGGAACUAGCAAACAUUGCUACAUUCGAUAUGACAGUUAAGUAGAACGAAAUUUCUUGCAGAGAUUGUUAUGUAUUCAAAUGGUUAAUUAUUUUUAUAUCUAUGGCGCAUAUGUCAUGAAAAAAUGUUACCGCAAGAUAUUGCUUAUACUUUAUGUGGAUUUCUAACUUGAGCAGUUCUUUUGCCCGCCAGUGUAUUAGUAUAGGUAAUCAUGCGAUGGCGAGUACAAUUAGGGAUUAAUAGUACGUGUGAUGUUUGGAAAUUUUGCCAAAAUUGGACGAGCCGCCGGGAGCAACAUCGCUUCAUAUAUUCUCUCGCCAAAGCCCAGUCCUGCCAGACUUUCAACCAAAAUUUGGUGCUUUUGUCCGUAUUUUCAUUUAGUUCUUUUGUUAAAGCAAAUUUUGGUGCUUUUGUUCGUAUUUUCAUCUAGUUCCUCUAGGGCAAUUUCAUUUCACGCUUGUGUUUAAAAUACUUUUCCGCCAUUUUGUUUGUUUUGGGAAAAUCAUUAAUUGUACUGCAGUACAAUUAAUGAAAUACUUGUACUCCUCUCAACCAAUCAGCAUCCAGUAAUUUUGUAAUGCUAAUAAUAAGUAUAUUAACAUACGACUGGCAAUGCUCUGAUUGUUACCAUCAGUCUUCAUAAAUCCUCGGACUAGCUUUUCAACCGUUUAUGACGGAUCCAUUUUCAACGCAAAGCGAAAAUACACAAGGAUAUAUAGCAUAUUAAUAUAUGACGCCAGAAAGGCAGAAGGUUAUAUUUUCAUUCGUGUUUCUAUGUGUGUGUCUGUCAGCACGAUAACUUAACAAAUAUCAAACGUAUUAACACGAAA